UACGGGGGGGGCAAGCGUUGUUCGGAAUUACUGGGCGUAAAGGGUUUGUAGGUGGCCAACUAAGUCAGACGUGAAAUCCCUCAGCUUAACUGGGGAACUGCGUCUGAUACUGGUUGGCUUGAGUGCAGGAGAGGAACGCGGAAUUCCAGGUGUAGCGGUGAAAUGCGUAGAUAUCUGGAGGAACACCGGUGGCGAAGGCGGCGUUCUGGACUGCAACUGACACUGAGAAACGAAAGCCAGGGUAGCAAACGGG
rnacentral:rRNA from 1 species